rnacentral:lncRNA from 1 species
CUCCUCCACCAACCCAGGUGAGCUCUACCUCCUCUGUUUUUCCUUUUUUUCUGUUUUUUUAGUUUUAGGUUUAUGUUUAGUUUAGAUUUAGUUUUAGUUUUAGUUUUAGGUUUAGUUUUAGGUUUAGGUUUAGUUUUAGUUUAGUUUUAGGUUUAGAUUUAGUUUUUUCCUUUUUUUCUUUUUUUUAGUUUUAGGUUUAUGUUUAGUUUAGAUUUAGUUUUAGUUUUAGAUUUAGGUUUAGAUUUAGGUUUAGUUUUAGGUUUAGUUCAGUUUUAGGAAAGAAAAAGAAGAAGAAGAAAAAAACAGGAGAGGAGGAGA